AUGCAAGUCGAGCGGUAAGGCCCUUCGGGGUACACGAGCGGCGAACGGGUGAGUAACACGUGGGUGAUCUGCCUCGUACUUCGGGAUAAGCCUGGGAAACUGGGUCUAAUACCGGAUAGGACCUCUUGUCGCAUGGCUUGGGGUGGAAAGAUUUAUCGGUGCGAGAUGGGCCCGCGGCCUAUCAGCUUGUUGGUGGGGUAAUGGCCUACCAAGGCGACGACGGGUAGCCGGCCUGAGAGGGCGACCGGCCACACUGGGACUGAGACACGGCCCAGACUCCUACGGGAGGCAGCAGUGGGGAAUAUUGCACAAUGGGCGGAAGCCUGAUGCAGCGACGCCGCGUGAGGGAUGACGGCCUUCGGGUUGUAAACCUCUUUCGACAGGGACGAAGCGCAAGUGACGGUACCUGUAGAAGAAGCACCGGCCAACUACGUGCCAGCAGCCGCGGUAAUACGUAGGGUGCGAGCGUUGUCCGGAAUUACUGGGCGUAAAGAGCUUGUAGGCGGUUUGUCGCGUCGUCUGUGAAAACUCACAGCUCAACUGUGAGCUUGCAGGCGAUACGGGCAGACUUGAGUACUGCAGGGGAGACUGGAAUUCCUGGUGUAGCGGUGAAAUGCGCAGAUAUCAGGAGGAACACCGGUGGCGAAGGCGGGUCUCUGGGCAGUAACUGACGCUGAGAAGCGAAAGCGUGGGUAGCGAACAGGAUUAGAUACCCUGGUAGUCCACGCCGUAAACGGUGGGCGCUAGGUGUGGGUUUCCUUCCACGGGAUCCGUGCCGUAGCUAACGCAUUAAGCGCCCCGCCUGGGGAGUACGGCCGCAAGGCUAAAACUCAAAGGAAUUGACGGGGGCCCGCACAAGCGGCGGAGCAUGUGGAUUAAUUCGAUGCAACGCGAAGAACCUUACCUGGGUUUGACAUACACCGGAAACCUGCAGAGAUGUAGGCCCCCUUGUGGUCGGUGUACAGGUGGUGCAUGGCUGUCGUCAGCUCGUGUCGUGAGAUGUUGGGUUAAGUCCCGCAACGAGCGCAACCCUUGUCCUGUGUUGCCAGCACGUAAUGGUGGGGACUCGCAGGAGACUGCCGGGGUCAACUCGGAGGAAGGUGGGGACGACGUCAAGUCAUCAUGCCCCUUAUGUCCAGGGCUUCACACAUGCUACAAUGGGCGGUACAGAGGGCUGCGAGACCGUGAGGUGGAGCGAAUCCCUUAAAGCCGUUCUCAGUUCGGAUCGGGGUCUGCAACUCGACCCCGUGAAGUUGGAGUCGCUAGUAAUCGCAGAUCAGCAACGCUGCGGUGAAUACGUUCCCGGGCCUUGUACACACCGCCCGUCACGUCAUGAAAGUCGGUAACACCCGAAGCCGGUGGCCCAACCCU
rnacentral:rRNA from 2 species